rnacentral:tRNA from 1 species
GCCUGGGUGGCUCAGUGGUUGAGCGACUGACUUCAGCUCAGGUGAUGAUCCCUGGGUC